rnacentral:tRNA from 1 species
AGAGACUUAGGUUAGCAUAGACCAAGGGCCUUCAAAGCCCUAAGCGGGAGUGAAAAUCUUCCAGUCCCUG